AUGUUCGAAUACAUGAAAACUAACCAUGGUCUCUGUAUGAUAGAAACCUUCAAAAAGAAGGUGUGCUACAUACACAGUGCUACACACACACAGUGCUACACACACACACACAGUGCUACACACACACAGUGCUACACACACACACAGUGCUACACACACACACACAGUGCUACACACACACACAGCGCUACACACACACACAGUGCUACACACACACACAGUGCUACACACACACACAGCGCUACACACACACAGUGCUACAUACACAGUGCUACACACACACACAGUGCUACACACACACACACAGUGCUACACACACACACAGCGCUACACACACACAGUGCUACACACACACACAGUGCUACACACACACACAGCGCUACACACACACAGUGCUACAUACACAGUGCUACACACACACACAGUGCUACACACAGCGCUACACACACACAGUGCUACACACACACACAGUGCUACACACACACACACAGUGCUACACACACACACACAGUGCUACACACACACACAGCGCUACACACACACAGUGCUACACACACACACAGUGCUACACACACACACAGCGCUACACACACACAGUGCUACAUACACAGUGCUACACACACACACACAGUGCUACACACAGCGCUACACACACACAGUGCUACAUACACAGUGCUACACACACACACACAGUGCUACACACACACACAGUGCUACACACACACAGUGCUACAUACACAGUGCUACACACACACACACAGUGCUACACACACAGCGCUACACACACACAGUGCUACAUACACAGUGCUACACACACACACAGUGCUACACACACAGCGCUACACACACACAGUGCUACACACACAGUGCUACACACACAGCACCGCACACACACAUCACUACACACACACAGCGCUAUACACACACAGCGCUACACACACACAGCACUACACACACACAGUGCUACACACACAGUGCUACAUACACACACACACACACACAGUGCUACGCACUACACACACACAGUACUACACACACAGUGCUACACACAUACACACAGUGCUACACACACACAGUGCUACACACACAGUGCUACACACACACACACCACUACACACACACACAGUGCUACACACACACACAUGUACACACACAAAAUGA
rnacentral:lncRNA from 1 species